UACAGAGGUCUCAAGCGUUUGUUCGGAUUCAUUGGGCGUAAAGGGUGCGUAGGCGGCGCGGUAAGUCGGGUGUGAAAUCUCGGAGCUUAACUCCGAAACUGCAUUCGAUACUGCCGUGCUUGAGGACUGGAGAGGAGACUGGAAUUUACGGUGUAGCGGUGGAAUGCGUAGAGAUCCGGAAGAACACCGGUGGCGAAGGCGGUCUGCUGGGCGGUGAACCCGCAAGGGUUCAAUA
rnacentral:rRNA from 1 species